GGGUUGUGGCUCAGUGGUAGAGCGCUUGCCUAGCAUGCAUGAGGCACUGGGUUUGAUUCCCCAGCACCA
rnacentral:tRNA from 1 species